ACCUCGGUGGUCUAACAGCUUAGGACGCUCGUAUGGAAUACAAGAGAUCAGGGUUCAAGUCCCGGCCGAGGUA
rfam:Trachymyrmex cornetzi contig36661, whole genome shotgun sequence.